rnacentral:piRNA from 1 species
UUGUGUCUUGAUGAUGUAGUUCCUGUGUCU